GGGAUAUAUUUUAUGUAAGUGUGGGUCAGUGAUGACAUGCUUACCCACACUGACGUGAAAAAUGGGUUUUCUUUUUUAGAUGCCAAUUGAAAUUGUUGGUAUUCCAAAUUUAUAACCCCUUUAAUCUAGCAUGGUCGGCGCAAGAACCUAUUUUUUUUAUCAUCGGCAGGAGAACAUUAAUUUGUCAAUGAGUUGCUCACAGCAAGCCACCUCAUGCCCUUUCUUUCAGUCUUACAAGACUUUCAAUAAUAAAAAGACUGGAACCCUGUGGCAUUUUUGAACCAUGACUUGGUUCUUUAGUCAAGCACAACUGCAUGAAUGAAAUCGAAACUGCUAAAAUCGAGGCAGUUUGGUUAUUACUCU
rnacentral:misc_RNA from 1 species